UGCCACACUCCACACAACCAUACCAAGUUUACUUGGCCAAAAAACUGGGAAAACUACCUGCAUAAAAACAAACCCCAACUACCAAUGAUUGCACAAUUUAGGUCCUCAGUCAACGCGACAACUGUUUUUGAAACAGCUAUAAAGUUAACCAAAACCAGCAGCUAUACCAUUGCUCAAACAGAUACGAACCACCUCCAGAAUAACCAUCCCAUACCCACCCUCCUAGCUUCC
rnacentral:lncRNA from 1 species